rnacentral:tRNA from 1 species
UAGAAUGUAGCUUAGUGGCACAGCAUCUGCCUGGCAAGUGGGAUGCCCUGAGUUCAAUACCCAGCACUAUAA